rnacentral:rRNA from 1 species
CUACGGGUGGCACCAGUGAGGAAUAUUGCACGAUGGGGGGAACCCUGAUGCAGCAACGCCGCGUGGAGGAUGACGCAUUUCGGUGUGUAAACUCCUUCUAUAUGUCAAGAAAAUGACGGUAGCAUAUGAAUAAGCACCGGCUAACUCCGUGCCAGCAGCCGCGGUAAUACGGAGGGUGCAAGCGUUACUCGGAAUCACUGGGCGUAAAGGACGCGUAGGCGGGUUGGAAAGUCAGGUGUGAAAUCCUACAGCUUAACUGUAGAACUGCACUUGAAACUUCUAAUCUAGAGUAUGGGAGGGGGAGAUGGAAUUAGUGGUGUAGGGGUAAAAUCCGUAGAUAUCACUAGGAAUACCUAAAGCGAAGGCGAUCUCCUGGAACAUUACUGACGCUAAGGCGUGAAAGCGUGGGGAGCAAACAGGAUUAGAUACCCCAGUAGUC